GUGUGAUUUUUGGACUUGUUGGUGAAUAUGCUUGUGAAGGGCUAUACCUUGCUGAAGGAUUGUAACUUGGUGAGGUUGGACUGUAAGUUGGUGAGGUGGGACUGUAUCCAGGCGAAGUUGGGCUGUAGGCAGGUGAGGUUGGGCUAUAUGAUGGCGAGGUUGGGCUGUACGAUGGAGAGGUUGGGCUAUAUGAAGGUGAGGUUGGGCUGUAAGAUGGAGAGGUUGGGCUGUAAGAGGGUGAGGUAGGGCUGUAAGAGGGUGAUGUGGGGCUGUAAGACGGAGACGUGGGGCUGUAAGCCGGAGAGGUUGGGCUAUACGCAGGUGAGGUUGGGCUGUAUGCUGGAGAAGUUGGGCUGUAGCUCGGAGAUGUAGGGCUGUAGCUCGGAGAUGUGGGGCUAUAGCUAGGAGAUGUUGGGCUGUAGGAAGGAGACGUUGGUGAAUAAGAUGGGCUUGUGGGAGAAUACGCAGGGCUUGUAGGACUAUAUCCAGGAGAACUAGGACUAUAUGUUGGGGACGUAGGGCUGUAACCAGGGGAAGUAGGACUGUACCCAGGUGAGGUGGGGCUGUAUCCAGGAGAUGACGGGCUGUAUCCAGGAGAUGAAGGGCUGUACCCUGGAGAUGAUGUAGGAGAAAACGCCAUCCCGCCCACAUACGGAGAAAACUGAGCAUCUGAAACAGGAGAUAACCGAAGAUUUGGGCUCAGCAUAUAAUUUGGUGACAUCAUGCCAUCAUGAUAUGGGGUCCCUGAGAUGGGUGAACGGCCAGGAGUCAUGCCAAACUCCAGUCCACCUUCCAUAUAACUGGGCAGAGGGAUCUCAAUAGCUUGUUUAGCAUCUCUUCAUUCAUAUACAAAGCACAAUCACCUGUGCCAAUAGGUGCAAGCUGUCCUAACAUGAUAUUCUCAGUUACACCCCUGAGGUAAUCUGUUUCUGCAUACACAGCAGCAUCAAGAAGAAUGUCCACUGUUUCUUCAAAGGAGCAUCUCAUCAUGGGGCCAGUAUCGUUGCGAUUGAUACCAUGACGGGUGAUGGCCAUCAAGUGACCACGAUAUGUCAUGGUAUCACACAAUAUAGCCAAAUGUCUAUAGUUCACGUAAGACCCAUCAAAUGAUAUGACAACACGCAACUCAUCCAGCAAGGCUUUGCGAACUGCCUCAAUGCCAAGAACUUCAAUAACUUCAAUCAAAUGAUUGCUUGUUGUCCUACUUGCAUCUACAUCUUCAUGGCAAAUUACAGCUAAAAGAUUAACACCUUCGGUGUCAAGCAUCCACUCAUUCUCAGCCUUGAAGCCUUCAUUUUCAUCAAACUUAUUUACCUUGCCAUUCUUUAUGAACACCUUAUUGAUAUCUGGUAUGCCUCGAAGAGCCAUUUCUGUAAGCAUGUUACCCUCAAUCUUUUUGAGGAAGACAUCAUCCUCAGCAGAUUCAUCAUUCAACUCACCUUUAGGGGCUUCAUCAUUCAUAAUACGAAUACGAAGGAUAAGCUUUUCAGCAUUAUCAUCAUUAAAUAUGCACGUUAGAUCACUAUCAAAUUCAGCAUUAAUCUUAUGGGAAAUAUCAGCCAUGUUGAGUUUCUUAUCCACCAUCAUUUCUCUGUUUAACUCUAUGCGAAGCAACCACGGAGAGAUCUUGUCGGGGUCAACAUCAUCAUCUGGCAUCUCAAAGUAGGACGUCACAAAUUCAACAUCUUCCUCAAUAAUAGUGCUCUUAGGAUCUGGAUCGUACCAUACCUCUGUUGCUUGUGUUACACUCCGCAAGGUUGUAUACUCCAGAGCGCACUGGACAUUUUUGGCCUUCUCCUUAGUUUUGCUUACACCAGGCUUCAAGUAUACCGAGAGNAGGUAAUCUGUUUCUGCAUACACAGCAGCAUCAAGAAGAAUGUCCACUGUUCUCAAAGGAGCAUCUCAUCAUGGGGCCAGUAUCGUUGCGAUUGAUACCAUGACGGGUGAUGGCCAUCAAGUGACCACGAUAUGUCAUGGUAUCACACAAUAUAGCCAAAAUGUCUAUAGUUCACGUAAGACCCAUCAAAUGAUAUGACAACACGCAACUCAUCCAGCAAGGCUUUGCGAACUGCCUCAAUGCCAAGAACUUCAAUAACUUCAAUCAAAUGAUUGCUUGUUGUCCUACUUGCAUCUACAUCUUCAUGGCAAAUUACAGCUAAAAGAUUAACACCUUCGGUGUCAAGCAUCCACUCAUUCUCAGCCUUGAAGCCUUCAUUUUCAUCAAACUUAUUUACCUUGCCAUUCUUUAUGAACACCUUAUUGAUAUCUGGUAUGCCUCGAAGAGCCAUUUCUGUAAGCAUGUUACCCUCUAAUCUUUUUGUAGGAAGACAUCAUCCUCAGCAGAUUCAUCAUUCAACUCACCUUUAGGGGCUUCAUCAUUCAUAAUACGAAUACGAAGGAUAAGCUUUUCAGCAUUAUCAUCAUUAAAUAUGCACGUUAGAUCACUAUCAAAUUCAGCAUUAAUCUUAUGGGAAAUAUCAGCCAUGUUGAGUUUCUUAUCCACCAUCAUUUCUCUGUUUAACUCUAUGCGAAGCAACCACGGAGAGAUCUUGUCGGGGUCAACAUCAUCAUCUGGCAUCUCAAAGUAGGACGUCACAAAUUCAACAUCUUCCUCAAUAAUAGUGCUCUUAGGAUCUGGAUCGUACCAUACCUCUGUUGCUUGUGUUACACUCCGCAAGGUUGUAUACUCCAGAGCGCACUGGACAUUUUUGGCCUUCUCCUUAGUUUUGCUUACACCAGGCUUCAAGUAUACCGAGAGAGAGGGUGUUUUAAUUUUCUUAGCAACAUUAAUAAUCUCCCUCAACCUUGGAACACCUAAAGUUAACAAUUCUUGGCACUCACACCAGCAUAGUGAAAUGUAUUGAGGGUCAUCUGUGUAGCAGGUUCACCAAUGGAUUGUGCAGCAACACAUCCUAUCAUUUCACCAGCAGCAACAAGUGACUGAAGAAAACGGGAUUCUAUCUCGCCAACUACCCAGUCAAAAGCCUCACGGGUAAGUCUGUACUCCUUCAGGACCCUUUUACUUGCUAAAGCACUACGAAGCAAUAUAUUGAAGAAAAGAGUAGCAUUCUUCUGUGCUUCCAAACUCAGAUAAUCAUCACCAACAACCACCUUAAGCCUUUCUUGUAACUUAUCAACAGCUUCUACAAUCUCCAUUGGAUGCAUAUCAGACGGUCUCCGAAAAUCAACUCUAAAGGUCUUCUGUGCAUUCAAAACAAGCCUCUUGAUGUUGACAGGGAGGGGCCAAGAAUUGUCACCCGUGGUGGCAAUCUCUGUUCCAAGUUGAUACCUAUCGGCUUCAAGUUUCUGAACCUCUGCAUCAAACACACUGCGGAUUUCACGAAUCGUUUUCAGAUCUUCCACAGCUUCAGGUAACAUAUAAUUAGGAUUCCAGUUUGGGUGAUCAAUCUCAUAUUUGUACAUGUCAUUGAAAUCCGAUCUCUUCAACUUCAGUGAUUCCAAAGGCUGUGAUUCAAUCCAAACUGCAUCCAUACCAUCUUCCCCGUACAGAAACUGAAUCACAUCACCUAACGAAUUCCUAACAGUCCCAUCAUACUUAACCAUGAUAUCUUCCAUAGCCUUCACCAAUCGCCUCUGAAUAUAUCCAGUCUCAGAAGUUUUCACUGCAGUGUCAAUAAGACCUUCCCUACCACCCAUGGCAUGGAAAAAGAACUCUUGAGGAGACAAUCCUCGAAGAUAUGAGUUCUCCACAAAACCACGACUCUCUGGACCAUAAUCAUCUUUGGUGAAGUGUGGAAGUGUGCGAUCCACAAAACCAAAAGGAAUUCGCUUGCCUUCAACAUUCUGCUGACCCACACAUGCAGUCAUCUGAGAAAUAUUGAUGAAACUUCCCUUAGACCCUGCAGUGACCAUAGCUUUGAGGUUGUUACUUUCUGCCAAGCUCUUCUGAGCACUGCUUCCAGCAUCAUCACGAGCCUUAUUCAACACCUGAAGGCACAAAACAUAUAUAAGGGAAUCACCAGGCUGCAGCAAGGAAAUCAAAAUUUUUAACAAACCUGGUUAACUCUGUUCUCGAACGAUUCCAUCAUUGUUCUUCCUGGCUCAGCUUCCAAUUGCUUUUCUUGUGCAGCCCUGAUAAGUUCAUUCACCUCAUUCUUAGCUUUGUUAAUAGUUUCAGAGAUCUUCGUCAUUGUAUCAUGAUCAGCAAUUGUAUCUCCAAUUCCCAUGCUAAAAGCGUUCUGCAAAAGCCAAUAAUUGACCAGCCAUUGUGUAUGUCCCAAAAAUUUCCGAGCUGCAUCUGGACCGACUUCUUCCCUGAGACCAGUAUACAUUAUAUUAAACACAUAAAUAUGAAUAAAGAAUCUUUCGGGCUUUCAGUUCAUUAUUAUAAUAUUUAUUACUCCUUGUUUCAUGUGCCAUAUCAUAUGUUUUGAUGUCACAAAUGCUAUAAUAUUCACACAGAAGAGCUACUAGAGUGGAGGAAGACUGAUAUAUGCAAAAGCUAAAUUGUUAAAGAGUACAGAAAUUUUCAAUAAGAUACUCAUGUAGUUUUAAACUUCUGAAGAAAAUUAAUCUUCUCUUCUACAAAUUCCGAUGGAGUAAGCAAAGGAACACUUUCUUGAAAUGGCAUUAGUUUUAUUGAUAUCUAUAAUGAGUGCAAGCAUGGAGAUUGAUAAAGUGUUUUGUCUGCAAAGAAACAGUACCCAUUUUUUUGUGCCAAAAGGAGAAUCUUUUUGCUAGUGAAAAGAGAGGGUAUUUCAUUGGUAACUCAAGCAAGUUCUUUUGAAAGUAUUACUUCUUCAAUCAACAUAUUGCGAGUUCUGACUCAUUUGCGAGAUCCUAGAAUAUAUAAAUAAAAGACACCAACUUCAUUUAAAGUAUUUGCAUACAUAUGCUCCCAAUCCCCAUUGCCCAUAGAGCAAUGGACCAAUUUAAUACAACAUGAAUUCUUCAGAAGAUAAAAGUGAAAGUCAUGCUUUUGCUCUUAAAUUUAAGGUUGAACGAAAAAUGUGACCCGCAAACAGCCCCAUACCUCCAUUUUACCCAACUUUCCACUUAUUACAUUUUGCUACUAGAUACUUCAGGUAUGUUACCCGCAAUCAGCCCCAAUUCAUAAUAUGGAUAAGUUGGGUGGGCGUUUAGGAGACAAUAGUUUCCUUUCAAAACCCACCAAAUGCAGAAAUGGUACUGCAAAAAUUCCAGAAAGAACGUACCAAAUAACAUGUAUGAGACUUCCACUAGAUGACCCGAGUGUUUUCUUGCAUAGGGUGCCUGAAAGUAACUCCCCUUUUUCUAUCCGUACUUGAGUAUCCCCAGGAGUAAUAAAUCCUUUUUCAGUUUCUUGAUGCCAUGAAGAAUACCUUAAUAGAUUUAUCUGUCUUGGAAUGAUUAAAUUAAAUACUUGUUUCCCAGUCCAAAGAGGCUUAGGUUUCAGAAUUGUUGGAGCAGGUACUUUGCCAUCAAAAUCCUCCCACCACAUAAGGAUGUUCAUAAAAACAUCCUGCGAACAAUACAGACAGCGAUAUCAGAUUGAAUGUGGACACUUACCUAAAAAUUACAUAAUGAUGACAGAAAAUCAAAUGUUACCUUGUCAAUAAAAGUAUCUCUCUUAGUGAUUUUGCGACAUCCUAGUAGUGUAUCCUGCACAAUACCCAUUACAGGUCGAUUUGAUUGAGGUGACACGAUGCAUUUUGGAACCAUCAUUAAUUCCAGAACUUCGGCUCUAGUUUCAAAUGACUGGGGCACGUGCAUAUUCAUUUCAUCUCCAUCAAAAUCAGCAUUGUAGGGUGAGGUAACAGACAGAUUUAAGCGGAAUGUUGAAUAUGGCAUAAUCUUGAUUCUGUGGCCCAUAAUGGACAUCUUAUGGAGACUCGGUUGCCGAUUGAACAGGACAAAGUCUCCAUCAUUUAAAUGUCUCUCAACCUGUACCAUCAAAUAAUAGGAAUCAGGUGUCAAAAGGAAUCCAAUGCUUGAUCAUUCUCAAUUAUAUAGCUGGGAGUCUCACCUUAUAUCCAAGUUCUAGAUGCUGAUCACUACUCUUUUUCAAGUACCGGAGAUCAAGCCUCUGUCCAUCAUCCCUAAUAAUAUAUUUUGCGCCAGUUUUACCAGGAGGGGGAUGAGGUCCAUAUUCCACAAGCUCUUUCAAUCUAUUUUCAAGGUCAAUAUCUGGUUAACAAGAAUAACCAAAAAGUAUAGAGGGAUCACUAUCAAGAAAUAUGGUAAGAGUGCCUAACCUUUCGAUGUUAUAUGGAGUUACAGUUUCAGGAUAUGUAAGAUUUAAGGCAAUACUCCAAGGCACACCCAGCUGGUCGAUGUUGAUUGUUGGGUCAGGUGUAAUCACAGUCCGAGCCGAAAAAUCUACUCGCUUACCCAUCAAGUUACCUCUGAUCCUACCAUCUUUUGCCUUAAGCCUGCUACAUAUUGAUUUAAUGGGUCUGCCAGAUCUUUGGGUAGCCUGAUGUAUACAAGGAUACUUCACUUGUUAGAUAAAUGAUGUUCCAGGAACUGCAUCCACAGUCUCAAUAUACUGAAAUAAUAUAACAUACUCUUGGUUGACCAGGUAAAUCGUUAUCAAAGUAUGUAGCCACAUGGAACUGCAGCAACUGUGCAAACUCAGAGAUGAUGUGUGCAGGAGCCCCAUUCCGCUCCUGCCUCUUUAAGUUCUCAUUAUGCCUAAUGAUCAUGGCCAGUUGAUGAGUUAAAUCAUCCUGCAUAAAUUGAUUCAAUUAUUAGAUUCUCCUGCAACUUAAAAGCAGCAAUCCGAGGAACAUGCAAUUGAUUGACUUGAUCAGUUUGCAGUGAACAGAACCCGAUACACUUAUCUGACCUAAAGGAACAAUUAGGGGUAAUCUAAACACCCAUGACAUUGUAGAGAUCAAAAGGAGAAGUCAUGCCUCACUCCGAGAAGAAGUAUCCAUCAUUACAGAAGGCCUAACUGGAGGAGGAGGGAUUGGAAGAACUUGAAGAAUCAUCCAGUCAGGGCGAGCAUAUUUUGGAUUCAAGCCCAACAACUGACAAUCUUCAUCAGUAAUUCUCUUCAGUAUGCUGAGCACCUGAAACAAAAAGGAAAUAGAGAUUGUUGGGAUUAGCGCAUAAAUCAAUCUAUCACAUUAUCCAGGCUGGAAAAAAAAGUUUGAAUCCCUAUUCUCUGGCAAUUUAUGAUAUAUGAUACCUUCUCUGCAGAGAGAAGUUGUUUUCGUUCAACAGGUUCAGGCAUCUGGUCCUGGUCAUCACUUUUCUUCUUCUGAAUCUUGUAUUCAGCAACCAUUUUCAUCCCAUCUAUAGAAAUCUUUGGCUGCUGAGCACCGCAUCCACCCCUAGACUUCUUCACAGGUUCUUCCGAAUCUUGACCUCGCACAUCGAUCUCAUCACCUCCUUCACAUUUGGAUUUGUUUUUGCAGGCAUCUAAUAUCUUCUUUAAUCUAUUCUUAGGGUUUCUAAUUCUCAUUGCUUGCUUGAACUUGGGAUCGUCCUAGAAAAAUUAACAAGGGAUCAAAAUACAUUGCAAAAGAAAACGAUUGUUCCAACUUCCAAGUAACUUUAUUUCCAUUUGAAGUAUAAUAUUCAGGCAAUAAUGAAAAUAACUAACUUUUACAACAGCAACACUCCUAGGAGAUGCAUCCAGAUGAUGAAAUACCUCAAACUGCUUCUAUCUUACCAAUAUGCAUUUCUAUAAAAGUAACACAAUUAUUGAAGACAUAACAGAACCUAGAAGCCUAAAACUGGAUCGUUGCUAGUCAUAAGUCUUACUAUCCAGUCACUCUUGCAAGUAAUAAGAAUGUUACAAUUAAAUCAGUUGCCCAGUUCAGGAUGGUCAUGAAUAAGACAGAAGUCUGACCCUCCUAGUAUACGAACAUAUACAUGAAAUAAGCAUUUUCCGUGAAUCCAGCAUAUGUUAUACACUUCUGAAAAAUUCAGUCUGCUACUCAGGCCUCACAACAGCGGAAUCAAUAGUCAUACCCAAUAUGAACCAAGUGAGCAUGACUGUACAAAUUCAUACUACUUAAACCGAAAACGUCCAUAACUUCAAUCUAACUACUCGGGAAAUGUACAAUACCUCAUCCGCUAAAAUCUUAGAGCAAUUGAAGCAGACACUGCGGAGAAUACUGAGCACAGUCUUCAUGAAGCCAAUGUGAAACAUAGGUUUGGCGAGCUCAAGGUGACCGAAGUGACCGGGGCAGUCAGCCAUGUUCGCCAUACAAGUCUCGCACUUCAUCUUCCGAUCAAUCGUCCCCAGACGCGGGUCGCUCAAACCACCGAUCUUCGGCUUGCCUCUUUCCGUCGUCUCGCUGUGCUCUAUAUGCACAACAGACAUUUGUCUCUACAAAACACACCAUAAAACAAUAGACCAUCAUUUCCAACUCAAUCACACACUCAAUGCCGAAACUGAAAGUUCAAAACAUUCAAAGAAGUGAGAAUUACGAUCUCAUCGGGGCUGAGAAUGCCGAAUUGGACGACGCGGACUUUCGCGACCUCUGCCGGCGAGAAGGGGAACCGCAGAUCCAUUGCGACACCGGAGAUUCUACCCUAGGGUUUUCGAUUAUGAUUUAUUAUGCUAGCUGAUAUAUAAUAAUUCCAAAAUUAGAAACAAAUAUGGUUUUCAAGUACUUCAAAUUAUUCGCGGUUUCUGUUAAGUAACUGAUUUUUGGGGUUUUUGAAGAAAACUUUUUUCACGCUGCGCUCUUCUCUGAAGGAGGAGAGGCGGCUUUGAGACCAAAGAAGAGAAUGAGGGGUUGAAGGGGUAUUUAAAGAGAUGGAUGGCUUCGAAGUCGGCGCUUAAUGGGGUUGUUUGGCUACACAGUUAUGAGCUGGACAUCUUCCUCUCGUUUGGUCCAUCUAUUAAAAAAUCUUCUUAAUCUAUUUUUAAACAUAAUUUCAUCAACUAUUAUCCUUAUAAUUUUCAUUUUUUGUAAGACUCAUUUUUCACUUAUCAAGUAUACAAUUAAUUUUUAUUAAAAUUCAUGUCACCCUCCUUUAUAAAGAUCUUUGAGAAAUGAAGGGAGUGUUAAUUCCAAAUAUUUGGUAAAAUAAGUACAUAAAUACUCAUUUCGUCCCAACUUUUAGUAUCAAUUUAAGAAUGACACGUGUUUUAAUAAAGUUGUUAAGUGUGUUGUGAGUGGAAUAAGGGUCUCGCAUUUUACGUGAAUGUUAAAAUAAUUAAAGUGGAGUAAGGGUCUCACCUACUUUUACUAAAAAUAAAAAUGAAUAUCAAAAUAUGGAACGGCCAAAAAAGGAAAUAUGAAUACUAAAAGUUGGGACGAAGAUAGUAGUUUACAAGCUCUACAAAUAAGUUUCUACAAUUUAUAAGCUUUUCAAACUACAAACUUUUUACCAUAAAUUACUUUUUCAUAAUUUUAUACUUCCUUCAUCCCAAUUCNCUUAUAAUUUUUCAUUUUUUUGUAAGACUCAUUUUUUCACUUAUCAAGUAUACAAUUAAUUUUUAUUAAAAUUCAUGUCACCCUCCUUUAUAAAGAUCUUUGAGAAAUGAAGGGAGUGUUAAUUCCAAAUAUUUGGUAAAAUAAGUACAUAAAUACUCAUUUCGUCCCAACUUUUAGUAUCAAUUUAAGAAUGACACGUGUUUUAAUAAAGUUGUUAAGUGUGUUGUGAGUGGAAUAAGGGUCUCGCAUUUUACGUGAAUGUUAAAAUAAUUAAAGUGGAGUAAGGGUCUCACCUACUUUUACUAAAAAUAAAAAUGAAUAUCAAAAUAUGGAACGGCCAAAAAAGGAAAUAUGAAUACUAAAAGUUGGGACGAAGAUAGUAGUUUACAAGCUCUACAAAUAAGUUUCUACAAUUUAUAAGCUUUUCAAACUACAAACUUUUUACCAUAAAUUACUUUUUCAUAAUUUUAUACUUCCUUCAUCCCAAUUCAAUAGGCCACAAGACAAGGCUUGGACAUGGAUAUUAAGAAGCGAAUAGUUUAUAAUAAAAUACGAGAGAGAAAGUAGCUUUUUUUAGAGUAAAUUUGUGAAAAAAGUAGGAGAGAGUAGAGAUAAUUUUGUGGGAUCACAAUGAUAUUUGAUGUACAUAAUGAGUUGUGCGAAGGUGUUUGUUAUAUACUAUGAUUUUUUAUUUUAGGAAGUGACCUAUUGAAUUGGAACGUCCAAAUAAGGAUUCAUGACAUAUUUAAAUGGAACUGAGGGAGUAAUAUAUUUUACAAAAAUUAUUCAAUUAUACUUUAUUACUAUUUUCAUCAUAUACACUUUAAACCACUUUGCAAAAAUUAACUCAAUCAUAUAAAUACUUUCACAACUUAUAAGCUCUUACAAAAAUACAUUUUUAAAAUUUUUGAAACAUUUUAUAAAUUGCUACAAUUAUAAAUUUCUUAAAAUAAGCUUAUCCAAACAUCCCCUUAAUUCUACAACAAAAUUUUAACAAAUGGAGUAUAAAUGAGCUAUGAUUGGUAACAUAUUUUUCCUACAAAAAUAAUAAGCGAUAGGUAACAUAACUAGCGUGGGAACUAAGAAUCAAUCUGGUCUAUUAAUUUGAUUAAAUGAUCAUGAUUGAUUUCCAUAUUGAACAAUACAUAUAUAUGAUAAUGCAUCAGUUUAUGCCAGAAAUUAUGCCAUGCUGAUAAAUAAUACUCCAUUCGUCCCAAACGAAAUGUCCUAUUUCUUUUCGGUACGGAAAUUAAGAAAUGUGUAUAAAAUAGAUUAAGUGGGUUGGUGAAAAUUAUUUAAAUAUUAAGUAUAGAGAGAGAGUGUAGUGCCAAAAAAGGAAACAUGACAUUUCGUUUGAGAUAGCCCAAAAAGGAAAACAGUACAUUUCGUUUGGAACGGAGGGAGUAUAGUGCAUACUUAUAAUAAACAACGUAGUUUUAAGUGUGGUGCCCACUUCGGGGGAGCUUGUUGGAUUUAUAAUAAACGACGUAGUUUUCAUAUAUACAAAAAAUCCUCUUCCAUUGAGAUGGUUUCUUACAUUCUUGGCUUCAGCUGCGCAUGGCUUAUCUAUGCAUGCAUUAUUUUAGUUAUAAGCAAUUUAGUAAAUAAAAUAACAAAAUGGAUGGAUUAACAUUGCCACAAAACAUGAUGACACUAUUAGUAUUUUACUUCAAAGGGGAAGAAAAAAAAACUUUAUACGAAUGAAAGAAUGCCAUGUUAAACAAUCUCUCUUAGCCAAAUUGGAAAGCUAUGAGACCAAACAAAUGGACUACAAAUUAAAAAAGAGGUUAUAAAGUGACACGGGACUUAUACGCCACGUGCGGAGUUCAGCUGCCCGACUGCCGGAGUUCAGCUGCCCGACUGCCGGCCUGGUAUGAAAAUGAUUGGGUUAGGGUAGGGUGUCCCAUGCAACAAAUCCUCAUUCCACCUUCCCUUUGUCAGUUUCAUUUACCACACUAAGCCAUGUAAACAAUACCAACACAAUCACAAAAUCAGCAAAUCUAUUCGAACUCGCUUGGCCUAUGGUGAAAGCAGGAUGGAAAAGAAAGCAAAAUAAGCAAAGGUAAAUAUACCUGCUUGGACUGGAAGGAGAAAAAGAUGGUGAUGUUGGGCUGCAAAACCACAGAAAAUAAUAUGUCAAGGUAGCAUUUGAAAGAGAGUUUCACCAGUUCAGAAUAUAUCCUAGUCUUGUCGGGGAAAUAAAACAAAAAGAGUAAUACUCUAGGGAACAAUUUAUCCAGCUUCCUCUGUGGACAAUCAAGUAUAGAAACAGAGUAAUACAUUUAACCAAGGUUAUAUUUGUUAGCAAACUUGAAGAGCAAAAAUUAAAAUAAGGCUUGCCAAAAGUUACCUGAGACUCGGAGAAUAUGGACUGUACGGACUUGAAGGUGUGAUUUUUGGACUUGUAGGUGAAUAUGCUUGUGAAGGGCUAUACCUUGCUGAAGGAUUGUAACUUGGUGAGGUCAGACUGUAAGUCGGUGAGGUGGGACUGUAUCCAGGUGAAGUUGGGCUGUAGGCAGGAGAGGUAGGGCUGUAUGAAGGUGAGGUUGGGCUGUACGAUGGAGAGGUUGGGCUGUAAGAUGGUGAGGUUGGGCUGUAAGAGGGAGACGUGGGGCUGUAAGCCGGAGAAGUUGGGUUAUAAGCAGGUGAGGUUGGGCUGUAAGAGGGAGACGUGGGGCUGUAAGCCGGAGAAGUUGGGCUAUACGCAGGUGAGGUUGGGCUGUAUGCUGGAGAAGUUGGGCUGUAGCUCGGAGAUGUAGGGCUGUAGCUCGGAGAUGUGGGGCUAUAGCUAGGAGAUGUUGGGCUGUAGGAAGGAGACGUUG
rnacentral:lncRNA from 1 species